AUUGAACGCUGGCGGCAUGCCUUACACAUGCAAGUCGAACGGUAACAGGUCUUCGGAUGCUGACGAGUGGCGAACGGGUGAGUAAUACAUCGGAACGUGCCUAGUAGUGGGGGAUAACUACUCGAAAGAGUGGCUAAUACCGCAUGAGAUCCACGGAUGAAAGCAGGGGAUCGCAAGACCUUGUGCUACUAGAGCGGCCGAUGGCAGAUUAGGUAGUUGGUGGGAUAAAAGCUUACCAAGCCGACGAUCUGUAGCUGGUCUGAGAGGACGAUCAGCCACACUGGGACUGAGACACGGCCCAGACUCCUACGGGAGGCAGCAGUGGGGAAUUUUGGACAAUGGGCGAAAGCCUGAUCCAGCAAUGCCGCGUGCAGGAUGAAGGCCUUCGGGUUGUAAACUGCUUUUGUACGGAACGAAAAGCCCCGGGUUAAUACCCUGGGGUCAUGACGGUACCGUAAGAAUAAGCACCGGCUAACUACGUGCCAGCCGCCGGGGUAA
rnacentral:rRNA from 1 species